GAGAACGAGAUUACGAGACAAGAGACAAGUAGACAACCCAGCUCUCCAGCGGUCCAGCGGUCCAGCCUCUCCUAGCCGAGGCCAAAACCCCCAUACCAACACACACUUCGCUUCUCGCUGCCUCCGCGGCGGCGCGCCGCUCCGCUCCGAGCCCUCUUCCUCCUCCUCCUCUGCCCGUUCGGUCGAGAAUGUUCUACUCGCAUCAGCUUCUCGCGCGGAAGGCGCCGCUCGGCCAGAUAUGGAUGGCGGCGACGCUCCACUCGAAGAUCAACCGCAAACGGCUCGACAAGCUCGACAUCAUCAAAAUCUGUGAGGAAAUUUUGAACCCCUCGGUGCCCAUGGCUCUGAGGCUCUCUGGAAUCCUCAUGGGUGGCGUGGUGAUCGUGUACGAGAGGAAGGUGAAGCUUCUCUACACUGAUGUCUCUCGGCUUCUGACUGAGAUCAACGAGGCAUGGCGGAUCAAACCGGUCACAGACCCCACCGUCCUCCCCAAGGGUAAAACUCAAGCCAAGUAUGAAGCAGUAACACUGCCAGAGAUCAAUAUGGUGGUGGAACAGCCCAUGUUUUUCUCAGAGCCUGAUGGUGCCAAGUUCCGACGAAUGGGAUUGGAAGAUCUGGAUGAACAGUAUGUUCAAGUCAAUCUUGAUGAUGAUGACUUCUCUCAUGCUGAUGAUCGUCAUCAAGCUAAAGCAGUGAAUAUAACCCUGGUCGAUAAUUUUGAGUCUGGGCUUGCAGAAACUGAUUUAUUCAAUCACUUUGAGAGAUUUGACAUAGCAGAUGAUGAGACCACAGUCAAUAUCACUCCUGAUGAGUACCCACAAGUUCCAAGUACGCUGAUUCCGUCACCACCUAGGCAGGAAGACAUUCCUCAACAAGAAGAACCGUACUACGCUGCCCCCUCCCCUGUUCAUGGAGAACCUCAACAAGGGGGACCAGAGGACCAAGAGGAACAGAAGAUGAAGCAGCAACCACCGAAAGCAUCAAAGCGGAAAGCACGUUGGGAAGUCCCACGAGUAAUUAUGGACAAUAACCAGAUGAUGAUCCCAGGAAACAUAUAUCAGACAUGGCUGAAGGAUGCAUCAAGCCUUGUCUCAAAAAGGCGUAAACUUAACAGCAAUUUUAAUUUUAUUCGAUCAACCAAGAUAAGUGAUCUCAUGCACAUCCCCCCGGUUGCUCUAAUAUCUCAUGACAACUUGUUCUCAGAAUUAUGUUAUCCUAAGCCACUUAUGCAGCUCUGGAAGGACUGCACUGAGGUCAAGUCCACAAAAGCUUCUUCAGGAGGGCAGCGAUCAUCAUCACAAGAACCACAACCGAAAAACUCACCACCUCAGGCUGGGGGAGAGUAUGAGAUGGAAACAGGUGGUCUGCCGAUGGAUUUAACAGAUGGCAUUGAAAAACUCAGGGCAAACAUGAGUGCAAAAUAUGACAGAGCUUACAAUAUUCUUCACAGUGACCAUAGUGUUACUCCUGGAAGUCCUGCAGGGUUAAGUCGCAGGUCUGCUUCAAGCUCUGGUGGCUCUGGAUCGGCGUUUAUACAAUUGGAUCCAGAAGUACAAUUGCCAUCAGGAAGUGGAAGGUCCAAAAGGGGGCAGCAUUCAUCUGCAAGAAGCUUGGGGAAUCUUGAUACUGUUGAGGAAGAUUUUCCACUGGAGCAGGAAGUGAGGGACUUCAAGAUGAGAAGGCUUUCAGAUUAUGUGCCAACUCCUGGUUGGUUGCAUUCUGUCCUUUGCUAUAUAUAAACAUGUGAAACUGUCUCUGGACGACUGGAACAUAAACUGUUUCAACCAACAUAGAAGUUAACAAUUUUACUCCAACUCCUGACCUACUGGAAGAAACUGAACCGACUCAAACCCCAUAUGAGAGGCGCUCCAAUCCAAUGGACAAGAUCACAGAAACAAUCCAGUCGCAUCUCAAACUUCAUUUCGAUACCCCAGGUGUCCCACAAUCUGAAUCCUUAAGUCAUUUAGCUCAUGGAAUGACCAAAGCCAGGGCAGCCCGACUAUUCUAUCAAAUAGCUGUUUUGGCAACUUGUGAUUACAUCAAGGUUACUCAGCUGGAACGGAAAGGAGAUGAACUGUACGGAGACAUCUUGAUCUCCAGAGGAUUAAAGAUGUGACUUGGUGAUGUUGGAAACAAUUUUGCUGCGGUGGUUCCCGGUGCACAUCUCGUGUUUAUAUUACAGAAUGCUUACAUAUUGCAUAGGAUGUCUUGUAGUUAACACAUAAUCUAUACAUGGUGAUCUGGUGAAAGAAAGGGAGCGAGAUAUGAGGCAGUAGUUUUGUGUUAUGUGGCAAGCAAAAUUCUAAGCUGUUAUUUUAGAGGUUUCAUAAUUUAAGUACGAACAUGUGUUAUACUAUUAUGAAACUAAGUUGUCCUGAAAGCACUUACUGAAAGGGAGAAAUUUACAUGGUACCUUGUCAACGAUGAAACAUACAUCGGAGGACAACAUAAAGAUGCACACUGUAUCCUGCUCUUCGGCUGCUUCA